CCUCGGGAGGCAGCAGUGGGGAAUAUUGGACAAUGGGGGAAACCCUGAUCCAGCCAUGCCGCGUGUGUGAGGAAGGCCUUUGGGUUGUAAAGCUCUUUCGUCGGGGAAGAAAAUGACUGUACCCGAAUAAGAAGGUCCGGCUAACUUCGUGCCAGCAGCCGCGGUAAUACGAAGGGACCUAGCGUAGUUCGGAAUUACUGGGCUUAAAGAGUUCGUAGGUGGUUGAAAAAGUUGGUGGUGAAAUCCCUGAGCUUAACUCUGGAACUGCCAUCAAAACUUUUCAGCUAGAGUUUGAUAGAGGAAAGCAGAAUUUCUAGUGUAGAGGUGAAAUUCGUAGAUAUUAGAAAGAAUACCAAUUGCGAAGGCAGCUUUCUGGAUCAUUACUGACACUGAGGAACGAAAGCAUGGGUAGCGAAGAGGAUUAGAUACCCUCGUAGUCCAUGCCGUAAACGAUGUGUGUUAGACGUUGGAAAUUUAUUUUCAGUGUCGCAGCGAAAGCGAUAAACACACCGCCUGGGGAGUACGACCGCAAGGUUAAAACUCAAAUGAAUUGACGG
rnacentral:rRNA from 1 species